rnacentral:lncRNA from 1 species
CACACUCCCAGGUCUAUAGCCUUCCUCCCUCCUCCUCCAACGCCUCCUUUUCUUCUGCUUCUCUGCUUUCGUUCGUCCUUUCUUCUUUUUCCUUCUUUCUUCUGCGUGUACUCUCACUGGAUUUCCAGUUUCUCUUUAAUUUUCUUCACAUCUCCAAAUGACCAAACCACCAUAAGAGAGACAAGCAAAUUACAACCCGGGUCUUCUGUAUUUGGAUAGAAUGACAAUUUUGCCCCAGCGUCAGAGCAUUGACUUCGUGCAUAGAGUUGGUUAUAGUCUUAUAGAGGAUUAAAAGUGACCGUUAGGGAGGUUCCUAACAACGGUCGGUGAGGGUAAUAUUGUCAAGAGAAAAUAGUGAAAAGGGCAAGGGAGGGUUGGAGGAGUAAAGCGACAUCGUUUUUGUGGGGAAUAAACCAAUAAGGUCUAUCUAGAGAAGCAUCAGACAGCUGUAUGCCACCUGGAAGCCGCAAAACAGCAUGGUCCCAGUGAUUUAAUCCUUCCCAGUGCGCCAGCUCAUCACCCCCGUGCUCUCUAUACUCCAGUUCUUACCCUCUUCACUCCUUUAUGGAAAUGUAUUAUUUAAUAUUUAUAUUAUAGAAAAAUUUAUUAAUUAAUUUUUUAUUUUAAAAAAUAAGUUAAUUUAAUUAUUUAUUACUAUUUAAUUUUUAUAAUUUUAAAAAAUUUAUUAAUUAAUUUUUUAAUUUUAUAAAAUUUUGUUAAAUAAUGAAAAAUAUUUUAAUUUUUUUAUAAUAUUUAACUGUUAAAGUUAAUAAAUAAAUAAAUUAUUUGAAUUUUUAAAAUUUUUAAAAUAUUUUAAUAUAUUUUUAAAAUUAAAAAAAUAAUUAAUUAUUUUUUAUAUAAUAUAAGAAUUAAGUUAUAAUUUUUUUUAAAUAAUUAUUAGUAUUAUUCAUUUUAAUAUUAAAUAAAAAUAUUUAUUUAUAUUUUUUAUUAAUAUUUAUUUAUGCGUUUGUGUGAAUGUUUAUGCAAAAAAGGAAAGGAGGACAAUGAUUUAGCGUCCNNNNNNNNNNNNNNNNAAAAAAAAAAAAGAAAAAGGUGGGUGAGUCCGCAAAUAAUUAAGAGGGAGGAACAGCCAACAGGAUUCGUCUGUCAGACUGUGACUUAGGAUAAAGCAAAACGCGUUUUCAAACGGCAAUCACGGGCACUGCUCCAAAUUCAGUUAAUUAUAGUUAAUCAAAGAAUGUUGUUACUCUAAAUUCAAUUAAAUUAUUAGAUUAAUUUUUAUUUAAUAAUCUAAAUAAAAUAGUAGAAAAUUGAGAAAUUACAUAAUUAAUGUUUAUUUUUUAUCAUAUAAUAUCAUUAAUAAAAAUUUUAUAAUUAUAAAAAUUAAUCACUCAUUAUAAUAUUUAAUAACCCCAAUUUAACUUAAAUUAAUUAUAUCAAAUAAAUUCAUCCAAAUCUUAUUCAAUUAAUAUUAGAAAAGACAUUAAUUCUAGUGAAGUACGGAGGCGAGUAAGUGACGUAUGCAAGCCAUGUUAUCAAAAUAAUUUAGUUUUAAGUGAUAUACUGUAAAAUGUAUAAUUUAAAAAAUAGUAAAAAAGAAAUAAAAUAUAUAAUUUACAAGUAAUUACUUAUUAAUCAAAUUUUAAAAUUUGAAAUAAAACUACAAAUAAUUUAUUUGACAUUUUUUUAAAAAUUAAAACAUCUAUUGAGAAAAAAUGGAAGAAUUAUUAUAAUUGAAAAAAUUAUACUAUUGUAUAAAAAAUUAAGAUUGUUUGAAUAGAAAAAAAAAAAGAAAAAAAAGGAAGAAAGGAAAAAAAAUACAUAUAAUAUAAAGAAUUUUCCAUUGAUCACUUAUUUGUAAAUAAGAAAAUUGAGAGGAAAUAAAAAAAAUUGAUAAAGUAAAUUAUAGAUUAUAAAUAAUUUAUUCACUAAAUUUGAGAGAAAGUGAAUAAUAAAAUUUAUUUUUUUAUAAUAUUUUAAUUUAAUUAUAAAAAUAAUGAGUAAAAUAAGUAGUUUAUUAUUUAAAUAGAAAUUUUAAUUUCCCUUCACAUUAAUCAAAUAAGUGAAAAAUAACUUCUUCUUUUUUUAAAUCUUUUAUUUUGCCUCCUAUUUUUUUAUCUUUAUCUUGACAUAACACAGAACUCCAUGUAAUUAAAUAGUUUUUUAACUGACGCGACGGAACGCGAAUUUGUCGCGCACGUAGACGACGCGCGUAACAGGGAGAUGUCAAUAAAUGCACAUGGGAUUCGCGACGGGGUUUUAUUCUGUGAUAUUCGCUGGAAUAUAAUAUUAUUAUUUUUAUUGUACAGAACGCAAAGAUAAAAUCUGUAGCUUUCACUGCAGGAAAUGCCUGCUGCCUUUUCUGUAAAUUGGAUUCCUUCAAUUUGAAAUUAAAAGGGGUUGCAAUUAAUUUUUGAAUUAACCUAAUUGAUUAAUUGGAUUCACGUUGACAAUAUUUUUUCAAUCUUUUAAUUUUAAACUAAAUUUUUUAUAUUCCGAAAAUUAAAAAGCUCAAUUUUUUUUUAUGAUUGUUAUGUUUUAUUUUUUAGAAUAAUUUAAAUAUAUAUUUUUUAAAAAUAGAACAUUCACAAUAAAUACAAAAGUGAACCGAGCAUUCAGGCAAUAUGGGCCAAAAUUAGGCUUAAGCUUCAGGUUAACAUGGCACAGUAUCAUAAGAGCAGGGCCUCUUCAGAAGCCUAACAUAUUUUAAAAAUAUAUGAGUUAGAACUUAAUUAAAAAUUAUUUUAAGAAGCUAGCUGAUGAGCUUCCUAUAUAUCACCUUUGUCCUUUGAUAUUAUAUAAGCAGUUUGAGGCUCAGAGCAGCAUGUAUCUAAGCAGCACAUGUUUCAAUCAUAAUUGCACUCAUUUGAGGGGAAGCUACAUCAACAUAUUGCUUUUUUUAACCGUACUGUAAUCCAUUCUGAUUGAUAUUGGGGUUUCCAGUUCUGCAUAUAAGUUGUCACAAAUUAAAUGAACGUUUUUAGACAGGAAAACAGUGCAAAAUAGCAGAGUCUAAUUGCACCUUGUUAGAUUGCUGAAUUGAAAUCCCAAAUUAUCAGGCAAUGAAACUUGGAUGAAGCCUCACAAUCUCACAUACAACUAAUGUAGGGUUCCUCAUGAUCCAAACCCAUUUUGGAAAUAAAGGCAUCUAACAAUUAUUAUGCUUCUUAGGAAAUUCAAUAAAUAAUGUUAUAGCUUUAUAAGUUUUUAGGAAGCUCUAUAUUUCAGUAGGACUAUUUAACAAAUUCCUAUUUUAUUGCUCUAUAUAAGGCACUACAUAGUUUAUGGAAUUAGAUUAGCAUUUUGGGUGAGAGAUCAGAUCCUACAUCAGAUCCAAGACAAUGAAACGAGCAAAACAUAUCAGCAUAAUAUUACACUACAGUACCAUGGUUAAAAAUCUUUGAGCAGAACAGUCUAGUAUUAGGAGAGGCUGAAGCACAGAAACAGGCUAAUAGAGAUGGCUAAUUGAGUAUAAGAUUGCAGUAAAGUUCCAUGGAUACUAAAUCAUGUGAACAAGGAUAAGAUGCUAAAAGAGGGGUCAGAAUUUCAUACCAAUAUCCACAUGCCCAAAUUGGAUCAUUUACAUAUAUUUAAGUUCCUGUGCGACAUUACAGUAUGAGACAAUCAUCAUAUAUGAACUGGAAGCAUGCUCUCAUCUUGAAUGUUUAUUCCUCCAUUAGAAGCAAUAAUCAGUGUAUCUGCAAUGCAAAAACAUUAAUUCCAAUUCUCAAUGCCUGGUAAGUUAACAAUAACAAAUGUUGGCAUUAGUUGAAAUACCUCCAGGAAAAGGAGCCCAUACUUGUGCUAAGACGUAGCCUGCUGUAGAAUGACCAUAAGGGAGACUUCAACUCAAAAGCCAAUAAGCCAGGAUGUUCUAAAUGCUACAUUUCACAUGAACAAACUGAAAAGGUCCAACCCAGAAUUUUAGUAUUUUGUUGAUGAUGGAUUUGUUAAAAUCAAAACCAACUUAAGGAACAAUUUGGUAAGGAUGUACAGACAACUGAGAACAUGAAAUUGUAUCAAUUCAAUUGCUCAAUUCAACAGGACCAAAAAAGAAAGAAGAAAACUGUCAAACUAAGUGUAAUCAAUCACAUAAUAAAUAAAAAUCACGACUCCUAAUUGUUCAGUUAGCACUCAAAAGAAAAUUUUCUGAUUUUCUACUCAUUCUUCCAAGCAUACAAAAUCAGCGAAAAAUCAAGAUUUUGUGAUUUGGAAUCCAGAAAUCUAUGUGAGAAAGACCAUGGCAACACAUUUGGAUCUGUGAGUAGUUGGCUUGACCAUAACUUCUCAGCUGAAAGGCAUGUCUUGAACAUAAAAACAGCAUUUCCAACAGAGGUGCCAAAGAGCCAAUUGUGAACAUCCCAAAGAACUUCCACUGCCAUUCCAUCAACCAAAAUGGUAUGAUUCCCACGGAACUUCCACCGCAACCGUUUCACUUGCAUCACAGUCUUACAAUCCAGACGGAUCAAAAGGCACGGAUCACUGGUACCAAUUGUGUCACAUUCAAUCACAAGAUCAUGAAUUUGACCAUUGUCACAAAACUGAGCCUUUGUGCUAAAAGCCUUCUUGCCAAACACAUGUUCUCUCUUGGAAACAAAAACUGCAUCAGAAGAAAUGGGAGUGGCACUAGUUUUCUUAAAAGCUUCCUUUCUCAUAUCCCCCAGAAGGAGAACCAUUUGCCUGUCAACAACAACACCCACGUAAAAUCCCUCUAACGGUACAGGCCCAGAUCCAAAUUUAGCCGAUGAAAGGUCCCAAUAAAUGUCAAUUUUACAAGAAUAUGAUUCUAAACUCUUGGACCCUUUUCUUUUCGAAAACAACCAAGGUUUAAUAUCAACCUUGCAUAAACACCUAUUAGCAGAAUCAUCCAUUCCUACACUUAGGCCUUGACCCAUCAAAUUUUUACUCCAGGUAAUAGUGAUCAAGCAAGAGCGACCUCGAAUUCGACAUUGAUACACACAAGUAACCAAAUUCUGCGCAUUUUUACUGGUAUUUGAAGAUGAAGAAUCAGCAACUUGUACCCCAUUUUCACCAAAGCAAGACGGAAAAUCUCUCAUUUUUUUUUCCUUUUUACAAAGAACUCUAAUUUACUAAAUCUCACUCAGGUAUUUCGACAAACAUUUGAGCCCAAUUUUGCAUCUAAAAAGUAACAGAACAAAAAAGAUCAGAAAUGGAGUAAUAAAAAGCAGCAAGUUAAAAGAAUUGCUGAAUAUUCAAAUGAAUAGCUCUUACCUCAAACACCCAUGUCACCAAAGCUUCAAAAUUUGCAUCUGAAGUCUUGAUUUGAUCUGGUUAUGCCUACUUAGAUGCAUUUCUACAAAAGAAAUCAUCAAUCAAUAGCUUAAAGAAGAGAGAGAAAGGAAAUCUAAAUUGAAGACAAAAAUAGGGAAUGUAGGUAAUAAAGUAACUGAUGAGAGAAGCAGACAGAAGUGACUGAUUUCACUGUCAAUGGCAUCUCCAACUCCAACAAUAGAAUAGCAAAUGAAAUAAGUAAAAAAUUCAAAAUUUUUUUUAAUAAAUAUCCAUUUACAUGUGUUCUGUACCUCAAGAAAAUGACUGGUUAACAUGGAGAAGAAGAAAAAAAAAAAAAAAAGCCAAGAGUAAAGGCAUGAUAUGGCAACUAGGUAUUGCUGGAAAGGCUGAGUUUUGAAGAUUACUCCACGCUGAUAAAGAGAAAAAAGGCGUCUCUGUAGCUGGCGCUCGUUCUCUCUCUCACACGACCAUGCAAUUUAUUCAAGUCGCCCCUCAAUUUCAUUAAUUUUAAAAUUUGCUGCCAUUUAUAAUUUAAUAUUUAUUAAAAGAUUAAAGAUAUUGUCUUGCUCCCAUAUAAUAAUAUAUAAAUUAAUUACUAUAAUUUUAUUUAAUUUUAUAUUAUUUUUAAAAUAAUUUUUAUUAAUUAUUAUAUUUUAAGUGAAUUUUUAAAAUAUUUUUUAAUAUUUAAUAAAAUUUAAUAUUUUUAAAGUAAAUAUAAUUAAUAAAAAUAAUAGUCUAUUUAAUAUAUGUGUAAAAAUAAAAUAUUUAAAAUUAUGAAAUAGGGAGAAAAUUUUUAUUUUAAAAAGAAAUAAGAGGAAGAAUGAGGAAAAUGUUUUCUUUAUUAAAAGAAAAUUGAGGGGGUAAGGAUUCAUCCCAUAGGAUAAGAGGCCGUGGUGGGGGAAUAUAGAUCUUAUCAAAGAAACAGUUUUGUGCUCGUGGUAAACACGCGUUCAUGUAAGUUGUGAUGUUUUUAGUUAAAAUUUUCCAAUUGGGAAGGGCAUGUCACUUCAAUUUAUAGCGCGUGAGAGGAUGAAAGUUCGCACUUAAGCGCACGUCAUUAGUGCUAAUAAAGAAUUGGCGUUUCACGUGCACAUGUCCGUGGUCGGUUACAUGAGUUAUGGCCUAAAUCCGGUUAUUUUAGAUCGCUUGGGCCUCUGUUAAGCCCACUUUCAUACUUUAUAAUUAAAAAUAUUAAUAUGUUGAAAAAAUUAUUAAAUAAAUUACUUUUUAUUUUUAAAAGAAAAUACUUUUUUUUUCAUACUUAUAUCAAAAUUAAUGCAUAAAAGUUUAAAUUUUGAUUUUAUUUGAUUCGAAGUGGUUAUUUUUUUGAAAAAUGAACGUUUUAGAAAAUAAAAAAAAAGGAAAUAUUUUCUAUUUUUUAAAAAGUUAAAUAAAAAUAAAAAUUAAAUAAUUACAAUUUUAACACUUUCUAAAAAUUUAAAAUUCUCUAAUUGAAUUACUCUCCAUUAAGUUAAGAUCUUAAUUAAAGAGAAUAUUUUAUAUUUAAACUAUAGAAACUACCCUCUGGAAGGAUGAUAAUUUAACAUAUGUAUUUUAAUUUUGUCUAACUUAAUGUUAUUCUAUCUAAAUUUUUUGUAAUUAUCUAAGAAAAUGACUAAUUUUAACUGUAAAUUACGUUUUUAUUCUUAAAUCGUACUAAAAUUAACACAUUAUUUAAUUUGUUUAUUUUGACUUCUAACAAACAUUUUAAAAAAUAUAUAUUUUUUAAAAUUUAUUCUUAAAAAAUUAUUAAAAUUGAGUAACCAUAAAUAAAAAUUGGAAGUCAUUGGAUAUUGUCAUUAUUAACAAGUCAGUCCCUAUAUUUUUAGAAACCUAUUAACAUUCUUAUGUUUUCUUUCCGUCAACGAAAUAGUCAUUUCGUCCUCUUUUGAGUUAAAAUUAGAUAAAAAUGAGAGAUAAAAUUUUUAAAAUUCAAUUUUACCCUAAAAUAAAAUCAUUUAUUUAGUUCUUGAAUAUUGUUAUUAUUAACAAGUUAGUCCUUACAUUUUCAAAAAUCUAUUAAAACAUUUUUAUUUUUUUCCAUAACUAUUAAAACGUCCUUAUCAUUUCUUUUCGUCAAUAAAAUAGUUCCUAUAUUUCUCAUAUCUAUUAAAACAUCCUUAUCGUUUCUUUCCAACAACGAAAUAAUCAUUUUUCAUCGUUUCUUUCCGUCAACGAAAUCGUCCAUCCCUAUAUUUUUAAAAAUUUAUUAAAACGUUCUUAUCAUUUCUGUUUGUCAACAAAAUAAUCCUUAUAUUUUCUCACAUCUAUUAAAAUGUCCUUAUCGUUUCUUUUUGUCAACGAAAUAAUCUCUAUCUUUUCUUUUCUCCUCCUCCUCCUCCGAUGAAAAAGAAGAAAAAGGAUAAGAAUAAGAAGAAGGAGGAGAAGAAGAAGAGAAAGAAGAAAAAGAAGAAGGAGAAGAAGAAGAAGAUAAAGAAGAAGAAAAAGAAGAAAAAGAAGCAAAAGAAAAAGAAGAAGAAGGAGGAGGAGCAGAAGAAGGAAAAGAAGAAGAAGAAGAAGAAGAGAAGCAGAAGCAGAAGAAGAAGUAGAAGGAGGAAGAAUUGAUGAAGAAGAAAAAGGAGGAGGAGGAGGAGGAGGAGGAAGAGGAGGAGGAGGAGAAAAAUAAUGGGUGAUAAUUUAGUCAUUUACUAUAUUUUUAAUGGUAAAAAUAGACGGAAUGACUAUUUUGUUGAUAGAGAUAAAAGAUAAGAACAUUUUAAUAGAUUUUUAAAAAUAUAGGGACUGACUUGUUAAUAAUAAUAAUAUUCAAUGACUAAAUUGUAAAUCUCCCAUAAAAAUUACUGAUAAGAAAACAUGUGUAUUAUCUCUAUAUAUAAAACUCUAUAAUCUAACAUAUAACAAAAUUUUAAAAAUCUAACAAAUAACAAAAUUUUAAAAUUAAAAAUAUGCAUUUAGACCGUAAAAAAUAAUUUUAAUUUGAUAAUAUAUAAAAUAAAUGGAGAAUUAGAAAUUAUGAAUUUUUGUUCUUCGUCAUUAAUUUAUCAACAUAGGUGGUGCUAUUUACGAUUUUAAAUCAAAUUGAAUUCAAUAAAUCAAAAAUUAAAAUUGUAAUAUUUAUGAAAAUCAAAUUGAAUUAAUUUUGGUUAAAAAUUAAAUCGAUCUGAUUUGAUUCGAUUUGAUUUGAUCAAUUUAAAUUUUUAAUAAAUUUUUUAUUUUUUACACUUAAUUGAAAUAUUUUAACUUUAAUAUGAUCUGAUAUUUCUACAUUAUUGAAAAUAAUAUACUAUUAUUACUAAUCGAUUUAAUUUAAUUUUUUUGAUUUUUUUGAUUAAAAUUUAAUUGAAUCGAAAUAACCGAAAUUUUUAAAAUUAAAAAUCAAACCGAAAUAAUAUAAAUAAAAAAUAAAAUCUAAAUUUUAAAUUAAUUUGGUUCGAUCAAUUUUUUAAAUUUAAACCGAAUACUGCGAAUCUCUACUAUUACAUUCACUUAGCUCACAUUUAAAUUAAAUUAUUAGCUUAAAAAGUGAUUAUCUUGUGAUAAAUUAAAAAUACUCAACUCACCUUCUAUUAUUCAAAAGUCAUAUUUAGAGUAAUAAAAAUAUCUAUAAUUCAGUUCAACUUUGAUUUGUAUAAUUUUUUAUUUUGAUUUUUUUAAUUUUAAUUCAUUUUGAAACAAAUUUGGUGCACAUAGAGUUAGAUCUAAGCAAGUCCAUUUCUUCUAUGAUUCAUGCAUAAAUAAAUUUGGCUGUAAUGCAUCGGCAAUAUAAAUUAUUAUGAUAAAUAAUUAUUUCAAUAAUAAUUAAUUAAAUAUUAUAAAAAAUAAUUUUUCAUACUCAAAAUUUUCAAUUAUUUUAAUAAUAAUAUUCUUCUAUUCUGUAUGUUUCAGACGACUUCGAUUUUAUUUUCUCUCGUGGACACUUUCAUUUUCUCUACUAUUCGUUUGCUUUGCUGUGAUCGAGAAGUGUGCUGGAUGCGGAGACUCUGCGCGUUCCAUGAGUUAGUGAUUUCGCUUACUAUUUACUAAUCGACCAAUUAUUGCUGUCAGUGUGGUGGGCAGUCACGGUUGAUCGAUAGCUCGCCUUUUGGGUUUGUUUUUUUUUUUUUUUUUGCAUGAUACAUGGGCUCAAAGUGGGUUUGUGAGUUUGGGUUGAUUGGAUCUGCUGGGUUUGGGUUUGGGCAUGAGUCUGGGUUUUAGACUUUAAACAUGGAAUCACCAGCGUAAUUUUUCACGUAAUGGUAGGAAAAAAACAACAUCUUACAGCAUUAAUUUAAUGAAGAAAUUAUUGAUAAUUUGUAAUGAUAAUUUAUUAUUAUUAUUAUUAUAUUAAAAAAACAUGUUUAUCCAUCUUGUCUUGAUUGGUUUGAUUAUUUCUUGAAUUGAAAUCGUGGCUGUAUCGCAGGAUAGCCUCAACAAUUUGUCUUGUUUUGGGACUAAAGAUCCACUUAUAAAAAAAUCACCAGACAACGAUGUGAUGAUUAUCGUAACUGUGAUCAAAGAUUAUAACGUAGUAUCAUUAAACAAAUUAACGUAAUCCUGCUUGCCAUCCGUAUCUCAACACAGAUAAAACUCUAAAUUACUCGCCAUAUAUUCUUUAAAAGUCUCUAAUUAACUAAUCUUGUUCAGUACGAUAAUCACAUGCAUUUGCAUCGGCACCGUCACCGAGGAACUUUAAUAAAUGCGAAUUGGAGUUCUCCUCGGACCCUAAACGACCAAAGCUGAAUUAUGUCAUUUUGUUUGAAUUCCAGAUUCCUUUCCAAAACUUUUUUCCAACGAGUCGUCAAUGCGUAGAAACUGGUACUUCUCAAAUUCCACUGUCUUAGAUACAUCUCAGACACAUUACCACAAGGUUCCAUGAGUUUAACAGCUAUGAUCUCCUGCUGGUUUAACUUUAUCUUCUCAUCCUCUGUAAGAAACUCAUUUUUUAUCUGCUUGAAAGGGAUUGAGAGACGAUCAUGGUGAGGGUUCAAAUCAGUAGGAAACAGUUGUUUCAUGAUCACUAAUUUCACAUCAACGCCUCCUUGUUUUUCUAUUUUAUCCAUCCAUUCGUUAGGUAACUCCGGUGGUGAGUCUAAACCCAAUUCUUCAAAAUUGAAUCUCUUCAACAAUUUCUUUUUCUUGUAUUGAUGAUCUUCAACAAUAGUAUUGACGUUUUCAAAGAAUUGCUCCCUUUUCUUGUUCUCUAUCAUGCACUCAGCGGGCUUUCCACAGACAUGUAAAAAAUAAGGAAAAAGAGGAAGUUCCUUGAUGACUCUAGACUCUUUAUUUGCGCCCCGUCUUCUCUUAGGCACAAAAGCAGCAAGUAGGUCCUUUCUCAUGGCUUCCAAUUUCUUUCUCUCUUCUCAAGCAGAAAUUUUUCAAUAAGCAAAUGUAACACAAACAUAAAUAUUUAUAGUUUAGGGAAGCUCGUCCUUGUCCUUGUUGGACGAGAAGUUCAGGAUUAGUAGGGACCAAUUAAUCCUCAUUGUAAUCUAUCUGAUUUCACUGCUGAAUAUUAUUAUUAUUGAAAGUGGGGUCAUGGUAUUUUAGUCAUUGAAUGACUCUUUAACAGUAAAUUUGGAGAUAUAAUUGAAGUGGGAUUCGAUUGUCCCUUCCCCAUUAGGAUAUCUAUUGAUUAAUUUGCUAAACUCGACAUAGUUUAACGAGGGCAGUUAAUCCUUGUUCAAAUGGGCGAUUAGCAAAUGGCCAGUAAAGCUUAAAGAGAGCGAGUUGGAACUUGGAAGCGAGGAGUUUCAGUGUGUUGCAAAGUCAGAGAGAUGAGCGAACACUCUCUAUUUGUAGAUGCAUGGAUAAGAGAAGCACAAGAGGUUUCCAGGUUGGUGGAGGACAUAGAAAGCAAGAUCAACAACGGACACAGGCUUAGAGACUCUGCUCAAUCAACGCUUUUGGAGGUCGGAGUCAAGCUUGAUCGCCUUGAAUCACUCCUUCAUAACCCUCCUUCAAAACCCAUCUUGUACGUUCGUUCUCGCUUCUUGCCCUUCUGGGUUUUGCUUUGUUCGCUACUUUGCUGCUGUUAGAUUCAUAUGCGUGCUGUGAGUGGAAGUAGUUUAUUUAAUUUUAUCAGAUUUUUGUGCAGAUUUCAUUAAUUUGUCUUUUUUUUUUCCCCACUUCCCCUUCUGCUUUACAUCCAAUGGACUGUUUUGCUUAAAGAGAAGAAGACGAAUUUUGGUUUAAUUAGAUGAGAAAUUUACAAAUUUAUUUGCAUCCCACAGUAUUAAAGAUGGAUUAGUACUUGGUGAUUUUCUGUUCAAGGAGGCAAAGAUCAAAAGAUUUCCUGGUUCAAAUCAAAAUAAAGAAAGGAGAUUAGUAAAUCAAAGUAGGCUAGCUAAUUAGAAAAAUUUUCCCUGCAUACAAGAGUGAAGAAGAGAAACCAGUUAGCUUGCUUAAGUAAUAUUUAGCUGCUGCAGUAUAUUUGCAGAACUAAAGAAGAAACGAAAUUCCGAUGGGAAAUGCUAUCGGACCUCCGGCUAAGAACAAGAGUGCUGGCCUUCAGUCUAUAUGCAUCACCAUCUACAAAGAGGUAUGAUUGUUCUUGUGUCCUUGUUACCUUCCUAUGUUAAUUGAACCACAUUUUUUCAAAUCUAAUGCUCCUGUAUUUGUGAUUAGAAAUGUAUCUCAACUCUUGAUUAUGUUAGAUUAUGCACUUGGGUUAUUUCAAUUCUUGAUUAUGCUUGAUUGGAUGAUACAUUAAUUUGGUAUCAAAGUCAUAUUUGCAUCUUCGCUUUCGAACAUGGUAUGGCUUGUCAGGCGCGAAUUUGAAUUAUUUGGAUGCUAUAUAACCAAAAAAAGGGUCAUAUAUUUGCAUAUUUAACAGGGGAGGAGGGAUGGCUGCUGCAAAUGCUCAAGGAACCAAUAGUCCCACCAUAAGCGAUGACCAAGGUACAACUCUACACAUUAGAUUCAAGCAUCAAUGAGGCUGCUUUAGCGAGAAUAUUCUUGCAUUUAGAUCAAUUCAUCAUACUGUUAAUCAAUACAUGAUCAUUGACAUGGAGUUUUGAUUGGCUAACCUCUUAGCUUCAUUCAUCAGUUGGGCUAUUAAGACUGCCUAAACAAUUCCCUUGCAUACAUGUAAGGAAAUCUUUUAGAAGUAAAUGAACUUAUACUUCUUUCCUUCUUCUGUAACAUUCAACUUAGGAUAGUCAGUCACAGAGAAAUAUGAACUUGUAAAUAUUCUGGUACUUGGAAGGUCUUCCAUAUUAACUGUAUAUGCUCUUGUUUUAGGUCCUUUAUACUAUGAUGCAGAUCAAAUCAAGCCCUCCAUGUCCAAAGAUGAUCCAGAAAUACUCAAACCUCUUAUUGUAAGAAUCUUUAUUCAUAUGAAAGUUGCUCUAAGUUUUCUGCAAAUUGUUACCUUCUGACCGUAGUUUCUGCUUCUUUGUUUAGUCAGAGGAUGCAUUGGAAAGUCAGAUGCAGGUACAUUCAUUGAAUUAAAGAAUUAAUAGUUUUCCCAAAUUAACUAUUAUUUAUUUAUUUAUUUUUCGUAUAAAUAGAUGAAGCAAUGUGGCACUUGUACUUCAAUGAGUGUACUCAGGAAGGUGUGUAUGAUCAUCUGCUUGAUUCUUGGAGUAGCUGCACUCCUUUUUUUGCUGGUUAUCAUCUGUGCAGCUAUAUAAUCUAUGAUACAGUCUACUUAGAUCUUCCUGUUGGUAUGAUACUAGUGUGGCUUCUUCAUGAGUUCAGAGGUGUGGCUGUUUACUCAGAAAAGUAGCUAAAAGUUUUAUUAGUUAUUUAUAACUUUGAUCACUCUGAUUCCAAAGACCUUCCCACCGAAAGCAAAAAAAGAAAGGAAUAGAGCAGCAGCACCAUUUUCAAUCCCUCUCCUAUUCAGCUGUCUCAAGAGAUUGAAGCUCUAAACAAGAUGAGGAAAAGACUAAAGGUCAUAGAAAUAAAGUUUAGUAACUUGAGUUGGAAGAUGAAUAUCAACAAAAAAUUCCUGAGGUGGCUCAGGUUGCUGGGGACUGUGUAGACGGAUCAGCUCAAGGGUAAGGCGGUAAAAAAAAGAGCUUGAGGAAUUAUGCAAUUUUUAUUAUACAUUGGGGAAUGGAGAAUCAUCCAAAUUCAUGUAUAUAUUUCAUUUGAAUGUAAGAGGGGGUAAUAGUUGUUGCUUAGGAGGCAGCCCAGACAAUUGAGGGCCUUUUUAGUUCACAUGGUAAAUAUUAGCACUAAAUUACUGAUGAAACUUUACCUUUGUUGCAUUUAAGUCAUUUAUAAGUAGUUCUAUAAAUGAAUCAAACUAUUCGUGAACUAUUCGAGACUCGAUUCGAUAAAAAUUCGAUCGGAUUCGAUUUGAUUUUUAAACGAGCCAAAUUCGAUCUUAAUUUUUAAACUCGUUUAUUAAAUAAGUUAAAUUUGAACUUCGUAAUAUUCGACUCGUUAAAAUUCAUGAACUGACUCGUUAAGAAACUCGUGAACAGACUCGUGAACGGACUUUUUGAGAGGCUCGUGAACAGUUUUAUUAAGAUAUUCGUAAACAGAUUUAUUAAGAGACUCGUAAACAGACCCGUUAAGAUAUUCGUCGAGCAGGCUCGUUAAGAGAUAGCUCGAUUUGAUUAUACUCCUAAGCCACUUAAUCUAUUUAUUAUAUAUAUUGUUAAUUUUUAUAUUUUUAUCCCUUAAUUAUAUAAUUAUAUUAUUAAUUUAUAUAUUUAUUUUUUACAUAAACACUCUUUUUAAAUUAUUAAAUUUCUCAAUAAACUAUUGUUAUUAUUAUUAUUCAUAUUAUAUUUGUAUGAUUAUUUUCCUACUUAAUAUUAUUCGUUUAAUUUUAUAAAUUAAAAUUUUUAUAUAAUUUAAAUAUAAAUCAAUAUAAUUUUAUCGAUAAAAUUUGAAUAUAAUGUAUAUAUAUAAUUAUAUAAUUUAAAUUGAUUAUACGUAUUUUAUAUUAAUAUAUUUAUUUUAUAUAAUAUUUUAUAAUUAUAUUAUAUGUACAGUAUUUUUUAUAUAAUAAAAUAAUUUAAUAUAAAUUAUAUAUUUAAAUAAAAAUAAAUAACAAUAUAUGAAUAAUGAAAUGAUAACACAUGUACGGAGAAAAUAUUUUUUUAUUCAAGAGAAAAAUUAAGUCAUUUUAAGGGAAAUAUUUUUUAUUUUUAAAGGAGAAUAUCAUUUUCUAUAAUUUGAGAAUUAUAUUAAAAUAUUUAUAUAUAAAUUUGGUAAUAUAUUUUAUUUUUUAAAUUAAAAUUAAAUAAUAAAAAAUAAAUUAUUUUAUUAAAAAAAUAUUUUUUACGCAAAACGUUUUCAACACAAGAAAAAUAUUUUCAAAGCACAAGUCAUUUUUCACAAAUAAACAGAGACUUAAAUUAUUCAUUGUAUUUACCUCUUUAACUUUCAAUUUAGCAAACAUCUUAAUUAUGAGCCAUUAUAUAAAUAUAUUUUUGAAAGGUAAAUGGGCAUUGUAUAGUCAAUGAUAAUAUAUUAAUAAAUUUUAUAUAAAAAUGUCAAUUGAUAUUAACAAUAAAAUUAUACAGAUUUAAUUAAAAUUAUAUAAUUUAAAAAGAAAUUCUCUCGCUCACCUGUAUAAAGUGUUUAUAUAUAGAUUUAUAUAUUUAUUAUAUAUAUUUUAAUUAAUUUUUCAUAUAAUAUAAAUAUUUAAAUAAAUAAUUAUUAAAUUUAAUAUUAUAUGGUUAAUCUUAUAUUAAAUAUAUUUUAUGUAAUUAAUUAAAAGUUUAUAAUUAGUAUUUGAAUAAUAAAUAUUAUUUUAUGUUAUAAAUAAAUAAAUAAAUAUUUAAAUAUUAAAAUUUAAAUAAUAAAAAAAUAAAAAAUUUAAAUAUUAAAAUCUAAAUAAUAAAAAAAAAUUUUAAUCAUUUAUUGUGAAUGGCAAGAGAACCCAAAAGUUUUGAAAAAUCACUUUUUAUUAAUUAUUAGAACACAAAUCCUAUAUGAGAUAUUAAAAAUUAUUGAAAUAAUAUCUCCUAUUUCAUAUUGAAAACUUAUAAGGAUGGAGGGAUAAAACUCCUCUAUAAAUAAAAAUUUCACUUUCUAUUAUAUUUUAAAUUAAGGUUAUAAUAAAUUUUAAUUAAAUUAUAUUUACUUUUAUUAAAGACAAAUAUUUAAAAAUUUAAAUUAAUUAAAUUUUGUUAACUAGUUUUUUAAUCGAGCUUUCGAAUUCAAACUUAAAUUAGACUCGUUAUUAGUUUAAACGAACUUUUUAAACGAGUUUUCGAGCCCGAUCUUCAAUUAGGCUCUUUAUUAAUUUAAAUAAGUUUUCCCGAUCUUCAAUUAGGCUCUUUAUUAAUUUAAAUAAGUUUUUCAUGAGUUGAUUAUAGUAUUUAAUUUUUGAGUCGAGUUCGAGUUCGAACUUAUAAAAUUUUUUAAUAAACGAGUCAGAAUUUUAUAAAAAUCAGCUCGUCUCGAUUCGAUUACACCCCUAUCUAUAAGAAGACACUUCCAAUCUAGUCUAAAUGAAUUGAAAGAAAGCAUAACAUUUUAGAACAAUCAAGCAAUAGAUAUACUAGUGGUUACAUCAUGAAUUAUUGAAAGAAAAAGCAGAUGCUUUUGAAGGACUUCUUCCUAUGUAUUUUAAUUACUUUUUCUGGGUCCAAUGGAGAAGCAAGAUUACCCUCAUAUGCGUAGUUAAUGAAACCACAUAAUUACUUAUGAUAAACGUGUGAUUCUCGAGCUUCUUCACAGAAAUGUGGGUCUAAAGACUGAAAGAAUCAAAGCCAGAACUCAGUGCUAAUCUUUUCUGAAACAAUACGGAUUCCAUAAUGGAAUGGCCCGAGGCACAAGGGGAUACAUGCAUGCAUUACGAGACACAAGCGGUACGUAAAAAGAGCACAGGGUCUGCGCAUCUGUUUCUGAUGAAGAUAAGCUGCAGACAUGACGACAAAUUCAAAUUGUUUUCUGGUACUAGGUCUAUAAUUCACUCAUUUGUGUAAGCAAAGCAACGUCAUUGUUUCUCCAUCUAUAUUUAAUUCUAUUUUUCAAGUUUGUAUCCCUGCAGCUUUAUUUUCUUUGUUUUUUGCAUGCGCAAUUCACCUGCUAUGAAUCUACUCCAUUUCUUCAAAUGGGUUGGCUUCAGUCCUUCUUCUCUCCAUUGAAAAAGCUCUGGCUUUGCUUGCACUCAUCGCCUCAUACAAAGAGUAAUUCUCUCUCUGCAUUUAUUUGUUUCUCCAUAUAUGUUUGCCAUUCUCAUUCUCAUUGAUCAAUCUCUAUUCUAUGAUCUCCCCUCACGUGNNNNNNNNNNNNNNNNNNNNNNNNNNNNNNNCACACACAUGCAUACACAUUAGCACGAACAUUCCUAUUCAGGAAUAUUAACUAAUUCACCGCCUCAACCAUUAAACAAUAAUGCUAAAUACUGCUUUUAACAGAGCCAAAGUGAAGGAUGAUGGAUAACUGGUUAAUCUUUAGCAGCACUCAUUCUAUUAGUGUAUUUUCGAUUCAACUCCAAUUUAUUUCUUUUAUUUUAACUUAUUAAGUAGGUAAAGGCAUACACAUUUUAUAUGAAGACGUCAAGUCCUGCCCAAGCCAAGAUGUGCAAAUUCUUUGGUCCAUUCUAGUAGAAUCCCAUGCCCCUGCCACUACUGAGUAAGUCUUCCCUGACUUACCCACACGUCAGUCAAUUGGUAGGUUUGUAUUAGCUGGUUAUAUAAAUAUUCUAGUGCGGAUAAGAAUUUUUCUCCAUAUAUGAGAUGAUAAUACUUGGGGAAAGAAUUGCAUGAAUCAUUGACAAAACUUUACUUUGAAACAAGAACUUAUAUAAUCAAACUACAUCAUAUUUAUGAUUUUUCAUCCAAGUUAGAAUUCGAUUAGUCGUAUCUAAUUCUGUUCCACAAUAUUAUACAGUAGUCUACCCAUAACUAUGAGCUUUUCAAGUGUGGUUGAGGGAUGGAUCCACGAUAUGAAACGAGUGAGAAAUGCCCAGAUUUAAUGUAUUUCGUAUAAAAUAUGUCAAAAAUACCCAGAUUUGCAUAGAAGAUCAAGGGAAAAAUCUUUGGCGAAAAAUAAAAAGGGAUCUUGGUACACAAGGGAACAUCUUCAGAAGAAAAGUAGUCCCAUUGGAUACAAGUUUAAAAGGAAAAAUGAUUCUAGUUUCAUUACAAAGUAUGUGUAUAUAACAAAGAAAAACUCAUAGGACUUUCAAGAGCUGCACCUCAAAUAUCAAAGGCUCAUUUGCAUGAGCAAAAAGGCUUCGACGAGGGCCAAACUGCAACCAAUUCAAGGACAUUGCCAUAACAUGAAUCAGUUAAUAUAAUAUGAUGAUGCAAAAUAAAGUCAAGACAAAAGAAUCAGAUGGAUUCAAUAAACUUUCAGGGAAAAGAAAAAGUCGACCUCUUCAGGGACUGGUUUCAAGUUUUCAUUUAUGUAUCCUACAGAAGGUGGGAUCAAUGCUCUUCUCUUCCCUGAGGAGAUGGCCAGAAACAAAAAAACAUUAUUGAAGAGCAAGUUUCAAUCAAAAGAACUUGGAAACCAUGUUAAAAAACACUUUGAGACACUAUGAAUCUGUGUCUAGAGCUUACCUCCAGCCUUCAUGCCGAUUAAGACCUCCUUCAAACCCUUAAUAAUCUGUUAGAAGGAGCAAUUUUACAAUAUGAAAGCACUCUUCUUAACAAAAAAAGAUGAUCACACAUUCAAGAAAAAAGUGGGUUCCCUUUUGCCUAGAGCACUUAGCCUGCGCAGUUAAAAGGCAUUUCACUAUUAGACUUUAAAUGCUAGUUGGCAUGAUAAAAAAAGAAGUGGGUUCUUUUUCGUAAUCAAGUUUACUCUGUCUGCCAUUGAUUAGUAGUUCAAUCACCAAGUGUCCACCUCAUGCUAAAAGAAGAAAGUAAAUGGUUUAACCAGUGCCACCAAUAAUUGAUGUGUUAUGUUUUGUUUCCCCCUUCUAUUAUACCAUUUUAUUUCUUCGGGUAUACAGCUAUAUGGAAAUUUUAUAGCAAAGACCACAUUACAUGCUCUCAGCAUUCAGUAGACACAUACACACAAGCUUGAAUCAAUCAUCCUUAAAGCUAAAUCUACAAUUAUCACAUUCCUUCAACUCCAAAUAUAAACAAAAGUUUCCUACAUACCCCAUUCUCAUCCAAAGGUAGUAUGACAGGUGAGCUUUCUCCACUGAAUUGAUCCACUGUGCUGCAUUAAAAGACAGUAAAAACUCAAAUGGGUAAUCCAUUUAACAAAGGAUGAGACUAUAUAUAGCAUGAAUCAGCAAACAUCAUUCCUGAAUAUGCAAGUAAAAGUAAAGUUACCUGUGAACAAAAUAUCCAUUUGAGCGGCGGCACACGUAAUUUAUUUCAACUACAUCUCCUUCUUCAGCUUUUGGACCUUCUCCUUCAAUAAUCUCUACAAAACAAAAACCAGAUAUUUAGUUCCCAAUUCUUAGAAUAAGAUGCUAAUUAUGCUAAGGAACUUAUGGCAUCUUUUUGUCUCUUGCACAUUAAGAUCGUAAUAUCCACCCUUAUUUAUAUGAGAACAUAGAACAUAGAUACCUUGAAUCCUCACCCCACUAUCAAGCUUCAAUGUCCUGUACACAUCAAAUCCCAACAAAACCUCACAUGAGAACUAAUAGUGUUGAUGUAUCAAACAAGGGAAAGGGUAGAAAUUCAAUUUCUUUUCUUUUCUCUGCAUUUCCCUCCAUCCACACAAAGUAUAAAGAGCAAAAAGGUAUAAAGGAAGUGAAAAAAGGAAAAUAAAGCCAACACAUACAACAUUUUACCGAAUUACGGGAGGUUCAUCCUUCACCUCUGGAAUCGGAGCAGCAAAAACAGGACUAACACAUAAUAGGAUAGUAUUGAAUCCACUAGCCUUCAAAAGCCCUCUCCUUGGCAAUCUUUUCACUGUUAGUGACGCAAAUUGACAAUCUCUCCAUCUCUUACUGCUGAUUUGAGCAAUAAUUACAUGAUCAGCGAAAAAAAAAAUAGCAAAUUUGCUACUAAAUCAAAUGACUGCUCUAAAUCGUGGGGGCAUUAUACCUGGGAGAUUGGAGAAUCGGAGGGAAGUGAAACAGGGUUUGCAACGGAAGCCCUUCCAUUUCACCAAAUGAAAAUUUCAGAAGAAGUUGAUAAGACUUGGCUGUCAACUGUCAAGAGGAUAGAGCAUGUCCUGGUUAGUAUUGUGCUGUUCUACAAGGUAAACUUAAUUUUACUAUUCAGUGUUUAUAAUAUUAGAAAUUCAUUAGGUAGUAUUUUAAUUUUAAAAAUAUCAUUCACCUUUUAAAAUAUAUAUUAAUUAAUUUUUUAUUAAUUUAAUAUUAAUAAUAUAAAUAAAUUUAUUAACAAAAUUUUAUAAAAUUAAGAAAUCAAUUAAUAAUUUUUUUAAAUUAUAAAAAUUAAAUAAUAAAAUUUUUAAUAAUUAAUAUUAAUAAAAUGACUAAUUAAUAAAUUUUUUAAAAUUUUAAAAAUAUUUGAAAAAUUAAUUAAUUAAUUUUUCUAUAAUUUAAAAAUUAAAUAAUAAAUUUUACUCAUUUUUCUUAGGGAUCAAUUGGUCUUACACCUUCUUUGACACGAGUAAAAUGAGAGAGAAAAGAAAAUAAAUAAUAAAAAAUAAGAGGAGAUUUUCGCUUUAUCUUAUUUAGUAAAGGAGAGAAAAAUAAAGAAUGAAAAAUAAUUUUUAUUUAUUUUCUCUUUAAAUUAGAGGAAAAAUAAUAAAAGAGCUAAAAAUUUUGCAUUGAAAAAAUAUAAAUUUUUUUUUCAAAAAAUAAAUAUUAUUUUUUCUUGCAUUAUUAAAGAAAGAAAAAUAAAAAUAUUGUCCCCUUCCCUCCCCUUAAGUUACCAAACAUAGCAUGGAGCUCUAUCAAAUCAUAGUUGGGCAUGUGGCUGGGCUAGCUUGUUGAUUUCUAAUUGUAUGCAUGCAGUGGAUAAUGAUCUUAGGCUGGUUGCCUAGGAAAUAAAUUUCAAAGAAUGGGAAGCUGCCAAGCAAAAGGUUCAUGAAAGGGGAAAGAUAAGCCGCAUUUUCUGUUAAACACAACAUUGAAAUGAUAACACCCCAUUUUCAUCAAACCACAUCAAAGCUCAAAUGGUUGACAUUUGAUAAUAAUAAACAAAGGAUCUCUCUUAGGUCCAUUAUCGUUGUUAAUGGCAGAGCCACCCAACUCAUCAAAGCAGAACUCUUUGCCAACCGCAAUAACCUCCAAAAAUACAUCACCACAUGGAUCUUUAAGAAUACUUGAAUAACCUGUCUUGAUUAACAGACAAGUUUAUCAUACUCUAAGCAUCUCUUGUGCUCGAUUUCUCAAGAUGGCCCCAUUCUUAUUUCUCCUCGAGUCUUUUGUCGGUUAUGUGCCUAACUUUUUGCCGAAGUUGGUAUGCUAAAAAUUUAAACUUUAUUGAUAAAAGGCAGAGAUGAGGGGUUCGAUUUUCUUGUUUUCUACUUUCUUCAAUUCAGUGUACUAAUUGACUAAUACACGCAGAGGCGGAGAGACUUUCAUUGAUUGUAGUUUUAAACUAAUGGCUUCUUACAUUCUUUUUCCGGCAAAUUCUGUUACUGGAACAAGAAGCAAGACUCCUGGGUCCUUGCUCUCUGGAGGUCGAUGGUCUAUAGCUCAGGUGGUGAGCACUUCAAAGUUGUAGUUUGUUCGUUCUUCUCUGGACUCUUUGGAGACAAAGGUGUCUGAUAUGAGUGUUAAUGGUAAUUCGCUCAUCUUUAGUAUUUGCUUUAAUCGAGUUCUUUCUUUUGCUUUGCCUGAUUUUUGGGAGUUUCUGAUUUUUGUUCUUGGAGUGGGAUACUGCAGUUUUAAGAUAUUAUUAAUUGUUGAGAUAGUUAAUUGCGGUGAAUUUGAGGGUUUUGCUAGAGAUGAACAACUAAAGAGCUUUUGGGAUAUCAAUAAUUUACUUCCUGAAUCUUCAGUGGAAUGUGCUUAAUAAGUUAGCUUUUUUAUCUUUGCCUUGGAAAAACUAUAUCAUUAAUCACAUUUAGUUCAUAUGAUUCCUGAACAUCUCUUUGACCCUUUUAGAUCCUCUCUUAUUUUUGAAUUUGAUAUGAGAAGUUCAAUAGGACUUUUUAUGUUUUCUAGUCAUUUAGCAAGUGUCCUAGUUUUUGAAUUGUUCUUCCUUCUCAACAUGCAUUAAAUGGUGUACUUGCCAGCUCCAAAGGGGUUGUUUCCAUCAGAACCCGAACAUUAUAGAGGACCAAAGCUGAAGGUGGUUCUUUCUAUAGAUGAUUGGUGUGCUGAAUCAGGAUUCAGCUGUGUUAUUGCCUCACUAUAAUUUCUUGAAGUACUACAAUUUCUAUGGUCUCUAAUAGUCUUUCUCAAAUCUCUGUUUGAACGUAGGUGGGUGCAGAUAAGAAUCUACUUGUGAAGGAUCAUACUCACACAUUUGUAAACAAGGGGGGUGAAAUUGGUGGUAAGGUUUAAUGCUGAACCUUUUGUGAUCAGAUAUUAAUUCCCAAUAGUUAUAUUUAAUUUUUCAAUAUAACCUUUACAGAUUUACCUGGCUCUUAAUUGGUCAAAACAUUCUUGUUCUCAUAGUCAUUCUUGUUGUCAUAGUCAGCCUUGUGUUUGGUAUCAUUAUAUCCCUUGAUAAGUUUGAGUUGGAUUGCAGAGCUUGAUUUUCGGUUUCCAAUUGGAGCUCCAUUACAUGGGAUUCGUCCGUUUUUGUCUACAAAUCAGCUUAAGGUAAUCUUUACCAGUACGAGGUCCAUUACGAUUUUAUCUGUAUGUCCAUUUCUUAGCAUGACAUCAAAUUGGUUGGGAUUGAUGGUGUCUGUCAUUUAAGAAUUAUUCAACCAAACCAGUAAGACUAAUUAAUAGCCUUAGUUUUAGAAAGUAGCCAUCACCCAUGCCUCUGCUGCUGCUUUCUGAUUUUCACUGAUAUGCUCACAUAACGAACUGCAGCCUAUAAAUCAUAGUUUUGGCAUCCAACUUUGCAUCAAUAGGGAUAGGUGAAAGUGCGGAAGAUAAAACUUCGAGAGUUUUAUUUGUCUUCUAAUUAUAGGGUUUCAGCUAGUGCCUAAUUCCUUGCUCCAUGUCAAUUCUCUUGCACAUUUACUCCUGAAUGCUGUUCAAGCGCAGACAUAUGAUGAAGCAAGAAAUGCUGUGGCUCUUGCCUUAAGUCCAGUUGUGAAGGCGCUUGUUAGUCCAGAUGGAGCAAUGAAGGACAUAAGAAAUUUAGAUAGCGUAAGCAAUGAUAUAUUUGUUCUAUUCAAGUUUUGAUUAGUUAUUUCUUUGCAAUUGCUAUUUACUUGAGACUGCAUUUUCUUCGUCCAGAUCAGCUUCUCUGAUUGGCUUUUGUCUAAAGGGGGUACACCCUUGGGUUUAUUGCCUGUGAUAAAAUCAGUGCUCGUUGUAUGCUCACUAUAUUCUCAUUGUUUGCCACCAAGACAGAGGCUUCCCUACUACGCAUGCUCAAGGGUUCUCCAGAUGUUUGCUUGAGUGGUCCUAUUAGAAAGUAUAUUGAAGAUAAAGGAGGCAGGUACACUUAUCAAGGCUAGGAUUUCAGUUAAAAAGUUGGUAGAUUUUGGAUUAUGAUUCAUUUUUAUUGUGUUGUCUUUUGAAAUGUUCCUAUUGAAUUUGUUGAUUUUUUUUAGCAGGUUUCAUUUUAAGGUGGGGAUGCAGACAGAUAAUGUAUGAUAGAUCUGCUGAUGGGGAAACAUAUGUCACAGGACUUGCCAUGUCAAAAGUAAAUGGUUGUUCAUGUUACUUCUCUUAGAUGCUACAUCCUAGGUCCUAUAUGAACAACAGCGAAGGACCUGACGAAGAUCCUUUUAGACCAGAUCAAAAGACACCUUUGAAGAAUUUCUUCCUCGCUGGCUCUUAUUCGAAACAGGUAACUCUUAACUCUUCCAGAACUGUUGCAUUUUUGUUACCAAAAUUUUUGGGAACUCUUACAAGGCUCUUCCAGCAAAAACAAGAACAUGUUUCAACCAGUACAUUGUGAAUGUACAAGUUUACAGACCAUGAAACCUUGGAUAAUCUGCAAGAAAUAGGAUUCCUGUUAUCCACAACACUUGGGUGUUUUGUUAUAAUGAAUCUGUGGUUUUAUGUUGAACAGGAUUACAUAGACAGCAUGGAAGGAGCAACUUUGUCUGGUAGACAGGCUUCAGCUUAUAUAUGUGAUGCUGGUGAAGAGUUAGUAGCAUUAAGGAAGAAGCUUGCUGCCGCCGAAUCUCCAGAAAACACAGUGUCUUGUCCUGUUACUGAUGAGCCGAGUCUUGUAUGAUAUAUAGAAGUUUACUUAGUCAUGUAAUCAAAUGAAUUUAUAUAAUCAAUAUAAAAGUUUAAAUUUCAGUUUAUGAGGCAAUUGAUGCAUUUAUUUAUUUCCUUUUUUAAUAAAAAAUUUUGCAAGAAAUCAAUUGAUUUCUUUUUUGUUUAUUUCCUUAUUUAAAAUUGUUUUUUUUUUCAAUUAAAAAAUUACUUUUGAAAAAAUAAAAUUUAUUUAAGAUUGUAUAAAAUUUUAAUUGAAUUAUUUAUAUAAAAUAAAUAAUCUAUUUCUCGAAUUCCCUCACUAAUCGAUGCUUUAUUAUAGCCCAAGAGAUAUGUUGGCUGUAGAGAUAUUUGCCAGCACUUGUGAGCCAGAUGUUGGCUGUGUGCUUUCUUUCAUCAUAAUAGAAUAAAUAAGACGCAGAGCAUUUUACACAUCAAGCAAAUAAAAUUUAUCAGAUUGGCUUAUUAAAAAUAUGCUGCCACAACAAUGAGCUUUAGCUCAGGGCAGCGGUACUGAAGUGGUAUCUUGAGCUGUCAGGUAUGAGUUUUGAGUUUUCAUUAAUCAUAUUAACAUGAGCAUUUAUUAGACUGGCUGUGUUGAAGAUAGGGACCUUAGAUGUCAAAACAUGUAGUCUCUUAGUUCAAAAUUGAUUAUAAUCAUGAUUUCAAAAGCUAAAAUAUAAAUGUGAUUAAGCUGAAAAUGGUAUUAACUGAACUUGGAAACCUUUUGAUUUCACAAGCUAGCCUCGUCAAAUUAGAUCAAGGCCUAAAGGCUUAAGUAGUGUCUUAUAAUCAAAACCUUUAUUAUCAAUCUCAACUUGCAUAAAGUUUUAUACAUUGUAUAUUUUACGGCCAAAGGCCAAAGUAAACACACCAGGGAGUGGGACAGAGGUUGGAAGCCAAAAUUUAACACAUUUCCAUUACAGUGAAACAAAGAAGAAAGUAGCAAGAUAUGUAAUGCAAUAAAACUAGAACAAUACCAUAAUCAGUUUAUUCAGGCUCAAAUUCAGGACCUAACACCAAAUGGCACGUCCUCGACAUACCUGACUCUAUUAUGACAAUGAAAGUAUUAUUGACUGUCUCAGACACCAAGAGUUACAAAACAACAAACACAUACCGGGCAUUUAUACAGACGAAGCUCAUUUCACCUCCACACCUUACUUUAUCCACUCAAAUCCAUCCUCUGCUUCUUUCUCAAUGGCACUCUUUGCAACCUCGAGAUCCUCAUCAAAGAAAAUAUCCCACUGACCCUCCCACUUGAUGAAAAACUCUGUAUCCUCAAAAUACUUCACUCUGUGCACAUCCCCAGCCGGAGUAAACAGAUAAUCUCCAACACCUAGAUCAUACUUUGUUUUCUUGCUCAAAUUCCAUACCCUCUUGCUCCCCUUCAUCACCACCAGAUCAUGCCCAAAUGUAUGGUGAUGUGCCGGCUCCACACUCCCAGCCUUGAAGCUCACUAUAGCUGAGGUAGGGCUCUCUCUUACUAUCUUCAUCGAACCUCCUGGGAUGAUAUCAAUCGGAUCUAACUUCCGGUUCUUCACUAAGCAACAUAGAGAACAUGGGGUUAAGGUUUCUUCCUUACUUUCAUUGGCUGUUUCUUUUCCGAUUUUCGGCAUUUCCUCAAGGGAAUUGUCAAAGAAUGAAGAUAUUUCUUCGCUCCAGGGACCGAAAUUAGAAGCAGGACAUGGAGCUUUGAAAGGGGUAUUGAGCCAAGCAUCGAGGAUUUCUAUGGCAGAUUCCGGAGAUGUGGACAUGCCAGAGACAGCUAGCACAUUACAGUUGUUAAUGGAGCGGGUAUUGAUAGCUUCAGC